GAAAGAUGAAAAGAACUUUGAAAAGAGAGUUAAACAGUACGUGAAAUUGUUGAAAGGGAAACGAUUGAAGCCAGUCGUACCUUCGGGUAAUCAGCCUUUCGGGUGCGAUUCUGUGGAGUGUGAGGAGCUUAAACACCUUCAUGUUUUGCAUAUUCGUACUCUUGGGUGUACUUGCCCGUGUGGUUGGUUAACAUCAAUUUUGGUGGUCAUAAAAUGACUGGAGGAAUGUAGCUUCGAUCUCGUAUUGAAGUGUUAUA
rnacentral:rRNA from 1 species